rnacentral:lncRNA from 1 species
GCCGGGAAGUUCGGGCCGGAUGGCUAAAGCUCGAUUGGGAUGUCUGAUGGAGCGGAAUAGCUUUCUGUCUCAGCAAUCUAAGAGAAGCUCGGAUAUUUCUGAGGUUGCUGACGGAUUAACUAUUAUUGGGUGCCUUAGGCGUUGAUACCGCAGACGGAAGUCAUCUACUGUAGAAGCUCGGAUGGAAACUUUCUGUUGGAGAAAUCCGAUUGGAG